rnacentral:rRNA from 1 species
GAUUUAAGGGCCGCAGUAUCCUGACUGUGCUAAGGUAGCAUAAUAAUUUGUCUUUUAAUUAAAGACUCGUAUAAAUGAGGUGACGAAGAGAAAACUGUCUCCUUGAGAUACAUAAACUUACCUUUAAGGUUAAAAGGCCUUAACAACUCAAAGGGACGACAAGACCCUAAAAACUUUACCUCUGAAUAAGUUCUCCAAGAAAAAUAAAGAAAGGGGUUUUACUGGGGCGGUAAAUUGCAACAAAAUUAACUAAAACACUUUGGGUGAACUAAAAGUACAGGCGUACAUAACAAGAACUAGUUACUUUAGGGAUAACAGCGCAAUUUCUCCAGAGAGUCCUUAUCGGCGGAGAAGAUUACGACCUCGAUGUUGAAUUGAGAAUCCUUUUGUAGAGCAGAAGCACAAAAAGGAAGUCUGUUCGACUUUUAAAUUUUCACAUGAUCUG